rnacentral:sRNA from 1 species
AUUCUUGGUCAUUUAGAGGAAGUAAAAGUCGUAACAAGGUUUCCGUAGGUGAACCUGCGGAAGGAUCAUUAUUGAAUAAACCUGAUGGACUGUUAGCUGGCUUUUCAAAGCAUGUGCUCGUCUGUCAUCUUUAUCUCUCCACCUGUGCACAUUUUGUAGUCUUGGAUACCUCUCGAGGCAACUCGGAUUUUAGGAUCGCCGUGCUGUACAAGUUGGCUUUUCUUUCAUUUCCAAGACUAUGUUUUUAUAUACACCAAAGUAUGUUUAAAGAAUGUCAUCAAUGGGAACUUGUUUCCUAUAAAAUUAUACAACUUUCAGCAACGGAUCUCUUGGCUCUCGCAUCGAUGAAGAACGCAGCGAAAUGCGAUAAGUAAUGUGAAUUGCAGAAUUCAGUGAAUCAUCGAAUCUUUGAACGCACCUUGCGCUCCUUGGUAUUCCGAGGAGCAUGCCUGUUUGAGUGUCAUUAAAUUCUCAACCUUCCAACUUUUAUUAGCUUGGUUAGGCUUGGAUGUGGGGGUUGCAGGCUUCAUUAAUGAGGUCGGCUCUCCUUAAAUACAUUAGCGGAACUUUUGUGGACCGUCUAUUGGUGUGAUAAUUAUCUACGCCGUGGAUGUGAAACAGCUUUAUGAAGUUCUGCUUCUAACCGUCCAUUGACUUGGACAAUUUUGACAAUUUGACCUCAAAUCAGGUAGGACUACCCGCUGAACUUAAGCAUAUCAAUAAGCGGAGGAAAAGAAACUAACAAGGAUUCCCCUAGUAACUGCGAGUGAAGCGGGAAAAGCUCAAAUUUAAAAUCUGGCAGUCUUUGGCUGUCCGAGUUGUAAUCUAGAGAAGUAUUAUCCGCGCUGGACCGUGUACAAGUCUCCUGGAAU